rnacentral:rRNA from 1 species
GCAAGUCGAACGCUUCGGCGUGGCAAACGGGUGCGUAACACGUACUUACCUGCCCUGGAGUGGGGGAUAACAUCGGAAACGGUGAUAAUCCGCCAUAAUCCCUACGGGGGAAAGAUUUAUCGCUCUAGGAGGGGGGUGCGGUCUAUUAGUUAGUUGGUGAGGUAACGGCUCACCAAGACGAUGAUGGGUAGCUGGUCUGAGAGGAUGAUC